rnacentral:rRNA from 1 species
AUUGAACGCUGGCGGCAGGCCUAACACAUGCAAGUCGAGCGGCAGCGGGUCCUUCGGGAUGCCGGCGAGCGGCGGACGGGUGAGUAAUGCCUAGGAAUCUGCCUGGUAGUGGGGGAUAACGUUCGGAAACGGACGCUAAUACCGCAUACGUCCUACGGGAGAAAGUGGGGGAUCUUCGGACCUCACGCUAUCAGAUGAGCCUAGGUCGGAUUAGCUAGUUGGUGGGGUAACGGCUCACCAAGGCGACGAUCCGUAACUGGUCUGAGAGGAUGAUCAGGCACACUGGAACUGAGACACGGUCCAGACUCCUACGGGAGGCAGCAGUGGGGAAUAUUGGACAAUGGGCGAAAGCCUGAUCCAGCCAUGCCGCGUGUGUGAAGAAGGUCUUCGGAUUGUAAAGCACUUUAAGUUGGGAGGAAGGGCAGCUAGUUAAUACCUGGUUGUUUUGACGUUACCAACAGAAUAAGCACCGGCUAACUUCGUGCCAGCCGCCGCAGUAACAC